GCAUGGAUGGUGAAACAGACUUAUUUUAUGUAAAAUACACGCGCAGUAUUAACCAUCUAAUGAAUUUUGGGUAGAUUAACAAGGGAAGUAGCAGAUGCACUUGUGAGCAGGGAAGACAUAGUUGCAAGAUCCAUGUCGUGCUCCCUCAAGUCGCUGGCACUGACUCUUGCACGCAUUAUUGUUUCCACAAACACCAGACCAUGUCCCACUUGGCCUCUCGCACAACUUCGCUUCCACCAUUGUUGGUGCUUCUGCAUAUAGAUAUAUCUCACGGUUAAUUAACAUAAAAAUAAUCUGAGAAAAAGGAAACUUUAAAACUCAUUCUGCUAUGCAUAUAUGAUAAGAUCAUUACUCACCAAAAGUGGCAAAGAGAACAAGGGCAGCGAAGAGAAGGGUGAUGAUGGAAGCAAACUUAGCCAUGACUAUUAUUUUUGUUUUGAAUGUAUGUAUGUAUGUAUGUAUGUGGGUGUGAGGAAAUAAGCAUAAGAUCGACCUCUAUUUAUAGUGAAAUGAUGGUGUUUAGUGUUAACUUUUAAUCGUAAAAUAAAUGUGAUAACCCUACAAAUAACACAGUGUCUUCUAAGUAUACAAAGGUAACACGGAAGUAGCUAGAAAGAUGAAUAUUGUAAGGAAUAAAUUUUUACUCUAUUAUAUAAAUUUUAAAGUUAAUUGUUUCUAUUAGAAUUGCAGAAGAAAAAAAAACUGUUUCUAUUAGAAUUUUGUUCUUUAAUACAUUUAGUGACCAAUGAAAUUGGAUAUUAAGAAGUUUUACUAUUCUAAUACAUCUUGGAGGAUAAGCGGCAAAGAGAAAUGGAUUUUUGAUGAAAUUCAUACUAUAAUUUAUUGAUAAACAGUGCACUGAUCAAUGAUUGGUUUCAUUACUACUUUGCUAGCUAAAUUGUUAAGUUGCAAUUUGAUUCGGUAGCUAUUGACUGUUCACAUAGCCGCCCUGUUUGACUUGGUCAAGAAACUAAAUAUCCAUUCCUUGCCAUGCCAUGUCGAUGAGCAGGUCGCAUUUAAUUUGAACUAGGAUAUUUUCGAUGUUAUUGAUCUCAUCACAACCAUCAACUAAAAUCUAAACUUGUAGUUCAAUCUAAAUACAUAGUGGCUUCGAACAAAUUUGCAAGAGGGUGCGGACUAACGAAGUUCUAAAUUUUGUAUUACUUUUACAUGAUUAUUUUUAAAAUCGCAUCCAAAUUCGUGGAUUCACCUCUGAAAAAUUCGUACCACCGAGAAGGAAAAAAAAUCCCUUUUUGAAAAAUUUCGAAAAACUAAGCGAAAGAAAAACUGUUUUCAACUUCAUCGUCUCAGCCGCGAACUUUGAUAAAAACAGCACGUGCCAAAGGCUUGCUACGUUGCCCUAUUAAGAGAGCCCCAGCACGAGCCACAUACAACAAGUAGCAAACUCAGAAGAAGACACGCUCAAAUUAAAGUUGUAAACUCAGAGUUCUCUUGCGACUAACUGAGACAGAACUAAUUUGUAUCAAUAUAUAAAUAAAUACACAAAAUUGGAGAGUCCGUAACAUGAAAGAUGGUAAAUUCCCUUUGAGAGGAUCUAUGUAUUUAUUAGGCUAUAUAAAGCUAAAUUGAUUACACAAAAUCAGGCCGCUAUAUAUAGGAAUAGUCUUGCGAAAGAAGCUCGAACAAGAGGCGUUAUUUUUUCCCAAAUCGAUCAUAACGAGCUAAUCAAUAGUAGUUUACGGAUCAUUAAUACGAUGGGCCAAAUAUGAUUGUAAUAGAUGGAUAGUGAAAAAAAAAUAUAUAUAUAAAAGCUAAAAUGAUUACACAAAAUCAGGAAGACCGGUAAAGUAUUAACGUACAAGAUAUACAAGAUAGUAAGUUAUAUUCUAUCAGGACGAAGAUAACAGUGUAAGCCUAUUUCCUUGCCAUUCUGGAAGUUGAAAACAAUGAAAACCAAUAUAUGAAAGUGAAACAGAGAAAAUCAUAUAAAUAAAAUUAUCAGGUCAAAAUUUCUGACUAGAAUAUUAUAUUUUGUUGAAUAUACCUUUUGCAUCCCUACUAGACGUACAUUAAUUACAAGAAGUAACUAUUAAUUUGCUUCCAUGAUCGUAAUUCAGGAGUUCGUGAAAGUGGAGAUUAGAACAUUGUUUUUGGAUUUCAUUCUUGUUUUUGGAUUUCAUUCUCAACAAUGUUAUGAGGAGGGUGCCUAGGAAGCCAUUUUACUGCGACGGAACAGGGCACGUAACCAUGCAAGAUGCGUUAGGCAUCUUUUUAAAAUUACACGGAAGGAGCGUAAUAUGCGGCUUCACGCCGCUCCACCUCUGAUUGCUGCUGAAUGUCUCUGAACCAUCAAUACAAAAUCAAGCUCUAAAGAAGUAUUGUUUUUUUUAACAUAUUCACACAACUUAAAAUUCAUGUCAUCUCAAUUAGGGUUUGCCAACUAACUUCACGGUUUAGUAUUUCGUUGCUAAAAAUUUUGGUAUGAAGAAAAAAAUUUAAGAAAUCAAAAAAUUAAUUACUUCUUAAGAACUUAAUCUGUAUUGAUGAUUCAGCAUAUCUGAUUCAUAAUUCCAAUAAUAUCAUAGUGAAGUCGAUCUCAGAGAAUUUUAAUUACACAGGACAUGAUCUUGUCAUUUGUCAAAAAUAUUGUGAUAUGAGGAAUACGAGGCAUCUAAAGAAUAGACGAAAUCAAAAGGUUUUUUUCUUUACUAUUUAUAUUUUGAGAUAUCCAAUUCCAAAUUCAUCGUAGAUCAAAACUUCUCAAUUUUUGCAACAUGCAUAUACGGCGGCCAACUACAAGUGCAAAAAGGAGAAGGCCAUGUACAUUUUUUUUUUUUUAGAUUUAAAUAUUCUGCAUAAUACACAUACAUAGUUAAAGACGAAGAUUCAUCAUUCCUCUAUUUUUUACCUUUUUAAACGUUAGCGAUCGUAUCAUAUAAUUUGUUUUGUUUGUUAUGAUAUUAAUGUAUUAAUGAUCAUUUUUCAAGGUGUCAAAACAAAAUUACAAUUUUUUCCCGCGGUAUCAUCUGUUUGUUUACCAUAUUUUAACCUUUGCAUGUCAUGAAAAGAAAUUGGAAAUCACUGUUUGUAGGCUUUGUGCAAAAUUUAUAGAAACGUAUACUUGACAUUUCAAAAUAUAUUUUGUUAAAAAUUAAAAAUUAAAAGUCCAAAUUAAAAUUAAGUUUUUGUUUUUGUUUUUUUCAGUCUUAAUUAAUUGCUCCAAUUGCACCUAAAAAGGCGACUCUGAUAGACGUCUAUAUAAUAGUUUAUAUUAUUAUUAUUAUUAUUAACCAAACCAAACAUUGAAACACAAACUAACAUACAUGUCAUAUCACACUCUAGUGACAGACUUAUUUUUUUGUAUAGUAGACAUGCAAGCAGCAAAGAGCCUUUGGUAGAUUAACAAGGGAAGUAACAGACACAUCUAUGAUAUGGGAAGACGUAGUUGCAAGAUCCGUGUCGUGCUCCCUCAAGUCGAAUGCACUGAUUCUUGCAUGCAUCGUUGUUUCCACAAACUCCCGACCAUGUCCCACUAUGCCUUGUGCACAGCUUCUGUGCUCCCACCAUUGUUGGUGCUUCUGUAUAUAUAAAUAUUUGUCUCUUAAUUAAGUAUCAGAAAAGAAAAAGGAAAAUUGUAAACACAUGAUUUUGCCAUGCAUAUGAUAAAAUCAUUACUCACCAAAAGCAGCAAAGAGAACAAGAGCAGCGAAGAGAAGCGUGAUGAUGGUAGCAAACUUAGCCAUGAUUAUUUAUUGCUUUGUUUGCAAUGUAUGUAUGUGUUAUGUAUGAGGAAAUAAGCUUAAGAUCAAACUUUAUUUAUAGUGUAACGGUGAGUAUGUCAUCUUGUAUCUAAGUCGCAAGUAGUUAAUAAUAGCUUAUGGCUGAUUGGCUGGUUCCUCCACCAACUAUCUAUACCUAUGGACGAUUUCAUGAUCUGACUAAUUUUAACCUAAGCUAGUGGUUUGGCUGAGCUAGUGCUGAUUAAUUUGACUUGGUCAAGACUAAAGAAGAUAAGAUCUUCAUCACCGGGUCGGAUCUGGUUCUUCGGAUUGAUAGGUUGGUAUUGGGUUCCUGAUUCUAGGGAAGUGAAAACGGGUAUAAAAAUCCACCUGCUGAUUUUUUGUAGCAUCAGCACCUCUGGACUCGUGUUCUUACAAGACUUACGAUCCAUAGUACUCCCUUUACAAACUGGACCGACUUGCUUGUUAUGCAAAAGUUAGUAUCUAACGCUGCUACUUACAUGAUUUGGAGGGACCGUAACUCGCGGCUUCACGCCGCUCCACCUCUGUCUCCUACACAACUAAACAAGCUCCUAAGCAACAUCUUCUCCGCCAAAACAAAUAUAGACAGCCUUGUUAUCUGAUUUGCUUAGCAGUAGAAAAUCUAAUUAUCUUUGAAUGUGCCUCCAGGCCCCAACCCGCAGGUAAGAAAGGCGAGAUAGAAACAGUCCAGAAUGACUUCUUGCCUUUAAGCAACGAUCCAAAACUUGUAAAUUAUGAGUUUUUAAAAAUAUAUUUUUUUUUUGUUAACUAACCGGCCAAUUCCAUAGUUUUCGUUGGCCGUGUUGAUAGUGUAUUAGAAAAGGCAUCAAAAAUAAAAUUUAGGAGAUCCUAAUUUCUAAUUUAGGGUAUUUCCAACUCUACCCUAUUUCUUCCUCUAAAUGCUAUUUUGGGGAAAAAUCUUCUCGAACUCUACUCCAUUUUCACCUCCAAAAUGAAGAAAUGCUAUUUUUUCCUCCAAAUAUGGAGUAACUCCAUUUUCAACUCCAUUUUGCAGGUGAAUUUUUUUAUUUACACAAUAGUCUUUCACUUUUCAUUAAUUCUUAAAACUAUAUUUUUAAUUUAUAAUUUAAUCCUUUAUUUUAUGUAUAUUUAAUUUAAAAUAAAAGAUAGAUAAAUUUAAAAUUUUAGAAUAGAAAAUAGAAAAUAUAAUAAGAUUAAAUAAAAUUAGAAAUAACAUAAAAUUAAAAAUACAUAAGAAGUACUGAAAUUAGAAAUAACAUAAAUAAAUUUAAUACAACAACUGAUUAAUAAAAAUCCGGUAAACGGCUUCCAAAUCCACCAAGAUCAUUGAAAUAUUGUCCAAACGAAUCAGAUUGUGGUAGAUUUUGUUGAUAUUGCUAUUGUUCAGCCAUUUUCUGUAAAAUUCGUGUUUGUUCACUCUGAACAUAAGCACGAAGAUUCGGAUCUUGUAUCGAGUUCAAGUCUUGGAACAAAAAAGUUUUGAAUUAAAAAUUGUGUGUAAUGUUAUUUUUAUAUUAUAGUGGUUGAAUUAAAAAUAAUAUUAUAAUUUAUGAAAGUUUUAACAGAAAAAAUGAAUUUAUUUAUAAUUUUUAUAAAUAGAGUGCAUUAUUAGUAAUUAACAAUAAAACAAAAAGAAAGAAUAUUCUUAUAAUAUUCUUUUGGAGUUGAAAAUGGAGGAAUACAUUGGAGAGAAAUCCAACUGCAUUUUGAAGUUCCUCCAUUUUAGAAGCAAAAAUAGAAAAAUACAUUGGAGAUGCUCUUAGUGUCUUGGUUAAUGUAUACAUAUAGAUAGACUCAAAUUAUUGUUACACUACAAAAAAAGAGUGUUUUACAUCACUUAUUUUUUAUAUUUACAUCAAUUUUAAGUGAUGUAAAAGAAUUUUACAUCAUUUAAAUAAGUGAUUCUGGAAGUGGUGAUGCAAAUAGUUUGCAUCAAUUAUAGAAAAUUUUACAUCGAUUCUAAAUGUUACUAUGUAUCAUUUACAAGAAAUGAUGUUAAUACUUACAUCAGUUAAUUUAAUCGAUGCUAAUAUUUGUUACGGUUAUAAUAACUGAUGUCAAAUUAUUAAAACCCUAUCUACUAUUUUUUUUUUUUCCGAUAGUCGCCAACGUUGUCCCGACCCACGAUUUCUACACUACAUUCGUUGUUCUUUAACCACGAUUUCAGUUCUUCCUCUGCAAUUAUCUAAAAUCUUUUUAGUCAGCACUUCUUGCUUUUCUCUAACACUUUGCUCUAUUUUCUCAAGUUUAUUUCACAUUUCUUUAUUUUUAAUUUUAUACUUAGUAUUUUUUAUCGAUUGUGUUAAAUGGUGAUAGUAAACAUAUACUAACUGAUGCUUGCUUUUUGAUUUUAAUAAUAGCAUAGACGAAUCAAUACCCACGACAUGAGCUUAAUAAAUUGGAGAGAUUAUCUAUGUCCGUGUUCCUUUCCAAUAUAUUGACAUUUAAUAAGACUUUUUCUAUCAAAACCUUUUUGAACGUUUUCCACUUUUCUCUAUCAUUGGUUUUUUCGGUAAUCUAUUCAUUUCACAUUAGGUUUUUUUUUUUAACAUGUUCACACAACUUAAAAUUCAUGUCAUUUCAAUUAGGGUUUGCCAACUAACUUCACGGUUUAGUAUUUCGUUGCUAGAAAAUUUUGAUAUGAAGAACAAAUGUUAAGAAAUCAAAAAAUUAAUUACUUCUUAAGAACUUAAUUUGUAUUGAUGAUUCAGCAUAUCGGAUUCAUAAUUCCAAGAUUUAUAGUGAAGUCAAUCUCAGAGAAUUUUAAUUACACUGGUGAUCUUGUCAUUUGUCAAAAAUAUUGUGAUACGAGGAACACGAGGUAUCAAAAGAAUAGACGAGAUUAAAAGGUUUUUUCUUUGCUAUUUAUAUUUUGAUAUUUUCCAAAUUCAUCGUAGAUCAAACCUUCUCAAUUUUUUCCACAUACGGCGGGGACGACUACAAGUGCAAAAAGGGGAAAGGCCAUGUACAUUUUUUUAUUUAGAUUUAAAUAUUCUGCAUAAUACACAAACAUAGUUAAAGAAGGAGAUUAUAGAUUGAAGGAUGAAACCCUUCCUAUGUUUCAUCCUUUGUAUGCAUUCCUCUCAUUUUAACUUUUCGAACGUUAGUGAUCGUAUCAUAGAAUUUUUUUUUGUUCUGAUUUUUUUUUUGUCACCAAAAUUUUUUUUGUUAUGAUAUUAAUGUGUUAAUGAUCAUUUUUCAAGGUGUCAAAACAAAAUUAAAAAUUUUUCCCGGGGUAUUAUCUGUUAUUCUGUUUAUUUACCAUAUUUUAACCUUUGCAUGUCAUGAAAAGAAAUUGGAAAUCACUGUUUGUAGGCUUUGUGCAAAAUUUAUAGAAACGUAUGCUUGGCUUUUCAAAAUAUAUUUUUUCAAAAAUAAAAGUCCAUAUCUAUAUGCAUAAUUUAAAUGAAAAUUAAGUUUUGUUUUAAAAAAAAAAAAUUGAGCCUUAUUCAAUUGCUCCAAUUGCACCUAAAAGGCGGCUCUGAUACGUCUAUAUGAUAGUUUAUAUUAUUAUUAUUAUUAUUAACCAAACGAAACAUUGAAACACAAACAUACAUGUCAUAUCACUAGAGUGACACAGACUUAUUUUUUUGUAUUUUAGACAAUAGACAUGCAAGCAGCAAAGAGCCUUUGGUAGAUUAACAUGGGACGUAACAGACACAUCUAUGAUAUGGGAAGACAUAGUUGCAAGAUCCAUGUUUUGCACCCUCAAGGUUAAUGCACUGAUUCUUGCACGCAUCGUUGUUUCCACAGACUCCUGACCAUGUCCCACUUGGCUUCUCGCACAACGUCUGAGCUUCUACCAUUGCUGGUCCUUCUGCAUAUACAUAUAUCUCACACAGUUAAUUACUACUCAUUAAAAAAAACCUGAAAAGAGAAAAUUGAUAACUCAUUUUGUCGAUAAGAUCAUUACUAACCAAAAACAGCAGAGAAAACAAGGACAGCCAAGAGAAGGGUGAUAAUGGAAGCAAACUUAGCCAUAACUACUACUUUUUCUUUUGAAUGUAUGUAUAUAUGUAUGUGAGGUGUGAGGAAAUAAGCAUAAUAUCGGUCUCUAUAUAUAGUGAAAUGAUGGGGGUUUAAUCUUUGGGAAAUUAUAAUGAAUUACCAAAAUUCCUAAAAAUAUUAAUUAAGUAACCCUCACACGCUAUAUGCAUCAUACUUUUACUCGGUCUUUUCUUUCGUUUUUUUUUUCCUUUAAUUUUUCCCAUCUUGUUUUAUUUGAUUUAGUUUUCUUCAAUAAUAUUGAUUCAAGUUAAUAUUCUAACUAGAAAAAACAUGCAAAAUAAAGAAUUUCUACAAAACACAAAUUUCUCAAAAUUGGAUAAACAAUUAUAAUUAAGAACUCAUCGUACAAAAUAUAACAUAAUCACAUUCUAUUCUAUUCUAUUCUAUUUAGUUUAAAAUGCAACUACAAAAUAUAAUUAUUCUUUCAAAAUUACAAAAAUACAUCAUUUUCAAGUUUUGAAUUUACUUAUAAUACAUCAUUUUGAAAGUACAGUAAUUAUGUAGACCACAAAAAUAUAUAGUAUUUCUUUCAAAAUUAAGAAAAUACAUCAUUUUCAAAUUCUUUAUAAAACACAGCAGCUUCUAAUCUAUUGUUAUAGCUUAAACACCAUUUCAAGUUUUAAGUUUGUUUAUAGGAUUUGAAGCUCUCAUUUUUUUUUGAGUUUGAGCUUUGGAUUUAGGGUUUAGUAUUUUAUAUUUGAAAUUCGUUUAUGUAUGAAUUAUUUUAAAAAUGGAUAACUAUUAUAAUUAAGGAUGCAAUACUAUUUUUUUUAGAUAAACAGCAUCGGAUAUAACAACAUUUUAUGCUAUUUUUUUAAAAGAAUACAUUAUUUUAAUUUUUGAAUAUAUACUGUUUGGAAAACUUCUGUUUAGAUUUUGUAUUUAGAGUUUAAUAUUUUUAGUUUUAUAGUUAACUUACGUAUGAUUUAAUAGUAUGAUACAAUAUUUUGAUUAUUUGUAAUUCGAUAUAAUUACAUUAUCUCUUAGUUACAAAUAGACUUCACUAAUAAAAAUAUCUAUAUCCAAUUUUAAAAAUUCAAUGUAUUUCGAAUGCUGAAAAUGCGUAUUUUAGUAAAAUCAUGAGAUUUAAAUAAUUUAUAUUAAAAUAUUAAAUGAAAAACAAUAUGAAAAUAGGGUCUAUUUAUCAAAAUAGUACAUGACACAGAAAAUAGUGCGAAACUUGUGUAUCAAAAUAGUAAUGACACAUAGAAGAUAAUGCGAAACUUGUGUGAGGGAGUUUUGAGACUACACAUCAACGCUCGAUGCUUGUUUGCUUAUAGUUAUAAUUAAUUCCUAGUGACUAUAUUCUUUAUUUUGAGUUGGUUUUUGGUUAUUGGGCAAAUUGAUCCUUAAUCUUUUAAUUUUUAUCGUACGAUACAUGUGUUUGACUUUCUUUCUUUUUUUAGGGCCUUAAAUGUAAGAAUUGUGAAGAUAUAUAUUAAGAUGUUUGGAAAAUAUCUUCAAAUGUUAAAGAUAUUUUUGUUUGACUAGCUCCUUGUAAUUGAUGGCUGGUUUCGCAGCUACAUCUAUCUGGCUGCCACUAUAUGUCUAUAUCUAAUGUAACCUAAGCGGCUGAGCUUGAGUCAGUCGAUCGAGUGUUGUUAGAUUGUUCCCAUGGACGUCUGGUUAAUUUGACUUGGUCAAGAAAGAUUAAACGGUUCGGGAAUAAUAAUUUGGAAGGAGCAUCUGGACAUGAAAGAAUGAACCAUGCAUGAUGCAUGAUGCAUCUGGCGACACCAAUGCAGACCUUCUAUAUAGCUCGUUCCAUUGUCAAUUCGAGAUUUACAUCUUUUAAAUUAUUCUUUUUUUAUUCAUAACUAUAUAUGUUCUUGCUUCAUCCCAAACAUUUUGUUCUCUUAUAGUGUCACUGUCAGACAUUAAAUGGACAAAGAUUUGUGAAAUUAAAAUUAAUUUAUGGAAGAAGUAUGGUGAUAAAAGCUACAUAUGGAAAGAUUGAAGAAGUCCGACCUGAAAUAAAUUAUAUAUGUGGAAGAAGUGUGGUGAUAAAAAAAAGGAGUAUAUGAAAAGAUUGAAGAAGUCCGACCCCUUUUAAAAACGAACGACUACAAUUCCUACAAAAUUUUCAUAAAUAUUCAUGUAUAGAUAUGAGAUAACAAUCUUUGGAAAAAAAAAAAAAAAUGGAUGGCUUUACUCAACGCAUUAGUAUGUCCACUUGACUCUCUUUCUGCAACCGCAUUAGUAAAAAUGUCCAUGACACGAUAGCAUAUUAGUCAACCCAUAUGGCACCAUAUAUUACCGGUUGGGUUUGGGUCUUUAUAGGUUGAUGGGUUGAUAUUGGGCUCGCUGAUUCAAUAUUUCAAAUACGUAAGUGGAUAUUGAUUCCGAGAUGGGUCUUUAUCGGGUCUGUAUUAGGUCAACGUUAAGUGAAUAUACUACAAUGUUUCGAUAUACCUAGAGACACCGAUGCAUUUGCACUCUCUACACAUGCCAAGAAUCGGGCAUUGCCCCCACAUGGAUUGUUUUUUUAUCUCUGGAUGAUUAACUUGUGGUUGUUUUCAUGAUUCUGAUCGGAUAUUUUAUGAUAUACUUAAUGGGACUGAUGCCUUAAUAGGAACAUUAGAAUGGACGAAUUGAAAUUUUCUAAACCAUCCAGAGAUAUUGAGAGAAAAAAAAAACAAAAACCAAAAUCGACAAGGUUAAUUGACGAAUUUGAAUAAUAUCAAAAAUCUCCGUGUCAUAAUGUUGAAGACAAAUAUUUUUUUUGGUUUUAAGACAAAUAUGGACAAGAAGAAACACAGAACUUAUAUUAUUUUAACAAACCAACAUAAGCGUAUAUGGUACAUGUCAUAAGGUCACUCUCAUAGAAUGACACGAGACUUAUUUUAUGGAAAUACACACACAAACACCAUAUAUUAUAUGUUUGGUAGAUUAAUUAACAUGGGAAGUAGCAGAUGCACUUGUGAGCAGGGAAGACAUAGUUGCAAGAUCCAUGUCGUGCUCCCUCAAGACGAAUGCAUUGGUUUUUACACGCCUUAUUGUUUCCACAAACACCAGACCAUGUCCCACUUGGCCUCUCACACAACUUCGCUUCCA
rnacentral:lncRNA from 1 species